rnacentral:sRNA from 1 species
CCACCGCCCUUCGGCAUGUGGUUCCCCACUAUACUGCAGCUGGCGGUUGCAGUAUAUAGGUGGUGGAUUGGGUGGCCACGCCCGCUGUGGGCCGAGCCACACCACCACGCCCACGGGUAUAUAUAUCACUAUGAGCGCAACCAUUUAACAAAUGGUUACGUUGGCUUUUUGCUAUGGAUAACCUAGUGGUCAUAGUGCUAUCUUAUCACAGGCACAGGGUUCGGGUUAGAGGUGGGUUAUGGUUAGGAAUCAGGAUCAGGGUUAGUUUCGGGGGUUGCUUAGAAUUUGGCCAAGAAUAAUCUGUUUGUUGACCCGGCCAUAGGUUUAGCACUACGACUCUCUCCGCGUGAUCAACCUCCAGCCCUUGUGGCUUUGUGCAAAAGCGGGUAGAAGGUAAAAACUUGAAAACAAAAAUUAAAUUACAAAGUAAAAGUAAAAUAAAAUAAUACAUAUAACUAUGUAAUAUUUUAGAAAAAAGAAAUUGAAUAAAAUCUAAUUGGUUAAUCCUUUUCUUCGGGGAACGGGAAAGGGGAACCAAACAAAGUGGAGGCCGCUCGCGGGGUAAAAAUGCUUAUAUACUAGUCUAGGUCGCCUCUAAGCUCGGUGAGCCUCAAUGGCGCUGUCAUGGCGGAGACCGUAACGGACUGAGUAGACAAAAAGAAAAGAAAAAGUUUCUGGUGGAAGGUUGUAUUUUGUGCGUGGGGGCGGUGGAGAGAGAGAGCAUAGAGUAGAAGCGGGGUGGAGGGGUAAAAGAAUAGUGAACUUUGUGAGCUUCCGGGAUUUUUUUUUUGGCUAAACGGCUGAAGCUGUUGGCAACCUGUAAAGGAAGCUUCUUUUUUAAAAAAAUUAUUUUUGAUUUCUUCUUGUUUUUUAUUCCCGGACUAGAGUUUCCCUACCCCUCCCAUCCUGGUUCCAAGGGGUGAGAUGGGAAAGUAAGGAUAGUACUGCGUAGUUUCGCUCAGAGCAUCAGUCCAUUACCCCGCCCCCAAGAAAUGAGAAAAUUCAGAGAUGGAUUCAUGCUAGCAUCCCGC